ACAGUCAAUACAUGUAGUUUACCACUAUAACACAGUCAAUACAUGUAGUUUAUUUCUGCCCACAGUGUGUUGUAACUCUUGUUGUUGUCUGUGUCCUAGUAACAGUAGGGCAGCAGAGAGAGCCUCUUGUUACAACCCUGCUGAAUAUUUCAUGGUGUUGAGAAAUGAACACAAUGCCUGACCACACUACUAGAGAGAGAAAGGGAUGGGGAGAGAGGGAGUAGAAACAGAGAAGGAAAGGUAGAUGGGGAGGAGGUGAGGAGAGAGACGAGAAAGAGAGAAGGAAAGGUAGUUGAGGAGGAGGUGAAGAGAGAGAGAGACAGGUAGAGAGAGAGAAAGAGAGAAAGAGAGAAGGAAAGGUAGUUGAGGAGGAGGUGAAGAGAGAGAGAGACAGGUAGAGAGAGAGAAAGAGAGAAAGAGAGAAGGAAAGGUAGUUGAGGAGGAGGUGAAGAGAGAGAGAGAGACAGGUAGAGAGAGAGAAAGAGAGAAAGAGAGAAAGAGAGAAGGAAAGGUAGUUGAGGAGGAGGUGAAGAGAGAGAGAGAGACAGGUAGAGAGAGAGAAAGAGAGAAAGAGAGAAGGAAAGGUAGUUGAGGAGGAGGUGAAGAGAGAGAGAGACAGGUAGAGAGAGAGAAAGAGAGAGAAAGAGGGUGUCCAAUUCCCCAUUCACAACUACUCUCUUUACCCUGUUAGCUUCGAUGCUAAUUCAGUCAGACCAGAACUCUAUAUUGGGUCUAUAUUCCUCUCCGUUUCUUACAGACCCUCUCCACCUCUGACCCUCCACCUUUGACCUUUCACGUAUCCCUCAGAUCGAGCGUUGUGUCCUGGAGUCCAUCCCGGAGUCAUCAAGGUCGUCGAGAGACGAGACCCAGUCGUUGUCGAGAGAUGAGAAGGAUACUCUCCAGUCAGCUGGGAUGCUAGCCUGCUCCGCACAGCAGGCGCACGCUAACAGCCACGGCUCACAGCAGAGGAACAGCCAACCGCGCUCCACACUGACGGACGAGAAAUCUCCGCGUCAUUGUUCCAGCGGCAACAUGGAGGACGGCGAUAAGCUCCUGGCCCCGCCCCCUUCUUUCGGCAGCCAUUUUGAGAGGACAAUCACUGUUGUCAGGGGCAACCGUAGCCUUGUUGCUGUGAAGGAAAGUGCUGUCUGUUCGUGUACCAUCAGACCUCUCACUGUAGCUUCUCCCAGAGGUCAGAGGUCAAUAACUGUGAUCGUCUAUGUGGCUGUAACCCAUAUGCACUAUGAUUGUAUUGUAAUUUGAAUGUAAUGAGAGAAGAAAUAUAAAAAAAAUCAAUAAACUAUAUAUU